rnacentral:tRNA from 1 species
CCCUCGGUGGUACUGAUGGUUAAUGCAUUCGGCUGCUCACUGAAAGAUUGGUGGUUCGAGUCCACCCAGAGGUG